ACCGGGUUGGACCUGGCGGUCCCGCCAGACAUCGUAACUGGCGGCGAGGGUUGCGCUCGUUGCGGGACUUAACCCAACACCUCACGGCACGAGCUGACGACAGCCAUGCAGCAUCUGUGGUGCACCCUCGAAGGUCACACGUUUCCGUGCGCUUGCAGCACCAUGUCAAGUCCAGGUAAGGUUCUUCGCGUUGCAUCGAAUUAAGCCACAUGCUCCACCGCUUGUGCGGGCCCCCGCCAAUUCCUUUGAGUUUUAAUCUUGCGAUCGUAGUUCCCAGGCGGUUCACUUAAUGCGUUAGCUGCGGCACCGAAUCUUGCGACCCGACACCUAGUGAACAUCGUUUACGGCCAAGACUAC
rnacentral:misc_RNA from 1 species